rfam:Ornithinibacillus halophilus strain IBRC-M 10683 genome assembly, contig: Ga0104432_1027
AAACCCUUAUAGUGAUAUAAGACUGGACAGUGAGAAGUCAGCAGAAGCCGUAGUAGUGUAGAAGUCUAAUGAAAGUUAGAACGAGCGAAGGGC